rnacentral:rRNA from 1 species
UGGCGGACGGGUGAGUAACGCGUGGGUAACCUGCCUUAUACAGGGGGAGUAACAGUUAGAAAUGACUGCUAAUACCGCAUAAGCGCACAGGAUUGCAUGAUCUGGUGUGAAAAACUACCGGUGGAAUAAGAUGGACCCGCGUCUGAUUAGCUGGUUGGUGAGGUAACGGCCCACCAAGGCGACGAUCAGUAGCCGACCUGAGAGGGUGACCGGCCACAUUGGGACUGAGACACGGCCCAAACUCCUACGGGAGGCAGCAUG